rnacentral:rRNA from 1 species
AGUGAACGCUGGCGGUAGGCCUAACACAUGCAAGUCGAACGGCAGCACAGGAGAGCUUGCUCUCUGGGUGGCGAGUGGCGGACGGGUGAGGAAUACAUCGGAAUCUACUUUUUCGUGGGGGAUAACGUAGGGAAACUUACGCUAAUACCGCAUACGACCUACGGGUGAAAGCAGGGGACCUUCGGGCCUUGCGCGAUUGAAUGAGCCGAUGUCGGAUUAGCUAGUUGGCGGGGUAAAGGCCCACCAAGGCGACGAUCCGUAGCUGGUCUGAGAGGAUGAUCAGCCACACUGGAACGCAGACACGUUCCAGACUCCUACGGGAGGCAGCAGUGGGGAAUAUUGGACAAUGGGCGCAAGCCUGAUCCAGCCAUACCGCGUGGGUGAAGAAGGCCUUCGGGUUGUAAAGCCCUUUUGUUGGGAAAGAAAUCCAGCUGGCUAAUACCCGGUUGGGAUGACGGUACCCAAAGAAUAAGCACCGGCUAACUUCGUGCCAGCCGCCGCAGUAA